ensembl:misc_RNA Y_RNA Y RNA
AGCUGGUGUGAAAGUAGUGCAUUAUUGAAAUUGAUUUUUCACAAUCAGUUAUUAAUCGAACUCCUUGUUCUACCCUUUCCCCUCCUGUCACUACUGCAAUGCACUAGUUUAAA